GACGAACGCUGGCGGCGUGCCUAAUACAUGCAAGUUGAGCGCUGAAGGUUGGUACUUGUACCAACUGGAUGAGCAGCGAACGGGUGAGUAACGCGUGGGGAAUCUGCCUUUGAGCGGGGGACAACAUUUGGAAACGAAUGCUAAUACCGCAUAAAAACUUUAAACACAAGUUUUAAGUUUGAAAGAUGCAAUUGCAUCACUCAAAGAUGAUCCCGCGUUGUAUUAGCUAGUUGGUGAGGUAAAGGCUCACCAAGGCGAUGAUACAUAGCCGACCUGAGAGGGUGAUCGGCCAGAUUGGGACUGAGACACGGCCCAAACUCCUACGGGAGGCAGCAGUAGGGAAUCUUCGGCAAUGGACGAAAGUCUGACCGAGCAGCGCCGCGUGAGUGAAGAAGGUUUUCGGAUCGUAAAACUCUGUUGGUAGAGAAGAACGUUGGUGAGAGUGGAAAGCUCAUAAAGUGACGGUAACUACCCAGAAAGGGACGGCUAACUACGUG
rnacentral:rRNA from 1 species